UGGGGAAUAUUGGACAAUGGGCGAAAGCCUGAUCCAGCAACGCCGCGUGGAGGAUGAAUGCCUUCGGGUUGUAAACUCCUGUCAGAUGGGGCGAAAAGGCUUCGGUUAAUACCCGGAGCCCAUGACGGUACCAUCAGAGGAAGCCCCGGCUAACUCCGUGCCAGCAGCCGCGGUAAUACGGAGGGGGCGAGCGUUAUUCGGAAUUAUUGGGCGUAAAGGGCGCGUAGGCGGCCCGAUAAGUCAGGGGUGAAAUCCCUCGGCUCAACCGAGGAACUGCCCUUGAAACUGUCGGGCUCGAGGCCGGGAGAGGGUGGUGGAAUUCCCAGUGUAGCGGUGAAAUGCGUAGAUAUUGGGAGGAACACCAGUGGCGAAGGCGGCCACCUGGACCGGUUCUGACGCUGAGGCGCGAAAGCGUGGGGAGCAAACAGGAUUAGAUACCCCUGUAGUCC
rnacentral:rRNA from 1 species